rnacentral:rRNA from 1 species
CCUGGCUCAGGACGAACGCUGGCGGCGUGCCUAAUACAUGCAAGUCGAACGAACUCUGGUAUUGAUUGGUGCUUGCAUCAUGAUUUACAUUUGAGUGAGUGGCGAACUGGUGAGUAACACGUGGGAAACCUGCCCAGAAGCGGGGGAUAACACCUGGAAACAGAUGCUAAUACCGCAUAACAACUUGGACCGCAUGGUCCGAGUUUGAAAGAUGGCUUCGGCUAUCACUUUUGGAUGGUCCCGCGGCGUAUUAGCUAGAUGGUGAGGUAACGGCUCACCAUGGCAAUGAUACGUAGCCGACCUGAGAGGGUAAUCGGCCACAUUGGGACUGAGACACGGCCCAAACUCCUACGGGAGGCAGCAGUAGGGAAUCUUCCACAAUGGACGAAAGUCUGAUGGAGCAACGCCGCGUGAGUGAAGAAGGGUUUCGGCUCGUAAAACUCUGUUGUUAAAGAAGAACAUAUCUGAGAGUAACUGUUCAGGUAUUGACGGUAUUUAACCAGAAAGCCACGGCUAACUACGUGCCAGCAGCCGCGGUAAUACGUAGGUGGCAAGCGUUGUCCGGAUUUAUUGGGCGUAAAGCGAGCGCAGGCGGUUUUUUAAGUCUGAUGUGAAAGCCUUCGGCUCAACCGAAGAAGUGCAUCGGAAACUGGGAAACUUGAGUGCAGAAGAGGACAGUGGAACUCCAUGUGUAGCGGUGAAAUGCGUAGAUAUAUGGAAGAACACCAGUGGCGAAGGCGGCUGUCUGGUCUGUAACUGACGCUGAGGCUCGAAAGUAUGGGUAGCAAACAGGAUUAGAUACCCUGGUAGUCCAUACCGUAAACGAUGAAUGCUAAGUGUUGGAGGGUUUCCGCCCUUCAGUGCUGCAGCUAACGCAUUAAGCAUUCCGCCUGGGGAGUACGGCCGCAAGGCUGAAACUCAAAGGAAUUGACGGGGGCCCGCACAAGCGGUGGAGCAUGUGGUUUAAUUCGAAGCUACGCGAAGAACCUUACCAGGUCUUGACAUACUAUGCAAAUCUAAGAGAUUAGACGUUCCCUUCGGGGACAUGGAUACAGGUGGUGCAUGGUUGUCGUCAGCUCGUGUCGUGAGAUGUUGGGUUAAGUCCCGCAACGAGCGCAACCCUUAUUAUCAGUUGCCAGCAUUAAGUUGGGCACUCUGGUGAGACUGCCGGUGACAAACCGGAGGAAGGUGGGGAUGACGUCAAAUCAUCAUGCCCCUUAUGACCUGGGCUACACACGUGCUACAAUGGAUGGUACAACGAGUUGCGAACUCGCGAGAGUAAGCUAAUCUCUUAAAGCCAUUCUCAGUUCGGAUUGUAGGCUGCAACUCGCCUACAUGAAGUCGGAAUCGCUAGUAAUCGCGGAUCAGCAUGCCGCGGUGAAUACGUUCCCGGGCCUUGUACACACCGCCCGUCACACCAUGAGAGUUUGUAACACCCAAAGUCGGUGGGGUAACCUUUUAGGAACCAGCCGC